GUUCAAAACAGCCUCGUCUUAGUUGCUAUUGCACCUUUACUCAUGUACUAGGUAGGGUGUUUGGUGCAUGCCGCAGGAUGCCGAGCCGUAGCUGAUUCGUGCCAAACAUUUGGAAGACUUGGGCAUAAAAAUACACUGAGCUUCGACGUCUCAGUUGCGGCAAGAUUAUACAUUUUGGCAUCUCUGGAUUGAAAUUCUUGUGUGUCGCAAGGAACACAGAACUCCGUUGCGUUUGUGCUAUUAUCAGGAAUUACAGGCAGAGUGGAGAAAAUGAGGAAAAAGAAUUAUAUAUAGCAGGAGCACCGCACCACCAAGGGGACUCAGGCUCAGCCAGCGAGGGCGUCGGCACCGGCGACGAUCUCGAGGAUCUCCCCGGUGAUCUUGGCCUGGCGCUGUCGGUUGUAGGCGAUGGAGAGGUUCUUGCGGAGCUCGAUGGCGUUGUCGGUGGCGCUGCUCAUGGCGCUCAUCCGGGCGGCGAGCUCGCUGGCGAGCGACUCCUGCAGGGCACGGAGGAUCUGGCUGUUGAGGUAGAGCGGGAGCAGCGCGUCCAGGAUCUGCACGGGGUCCUGCUCGAACUGCACCACGGGGGAGAAGGGCUGCGUCUCGAUCUUCACCUUCUCGCGCUCCACGGUGAGCUUCCCCUCCUUGGUGGUGAGGCGGAAGAGCUCGUCCUCGGUGGCGUCCACGCAGACGCCGUUGACGUCGCAGAUCUCGCCCUUGGGCGACAUGGGGAGCAGCGUCUGGAUGAUGGGGUCGGAGCGCACCAGCGACACGAACUUGGAGUAGAGCAGCUCCACCUUGUCCACCUCCUCGGAGACGAAGAGCGAGUAGACGAGGUCGCAGAUGGCCUGCGAGUCCUUGACGGUGGGCACGCUGCUCACCUCUAGAUCGCGCUCCAACGGGAUGUAGGGGCGGCGCUGGAAGUAGGCGUUGCCCUUCUUCCCCACGCUGACGACGGUGUACUGGAGGCCCAGCUGCUUGAGCUCAUCGAUGCGGGUUUCCGCCUUCUUGAGCACGUUGUUGUUGAAGCUCCCGCAGAGGC